CACAUGCAAGUCGAACGAGAAGCUGUAGCAAUACAGUUGUAAAGUGGCAAACGGGUGAGUAACACGUGGGUAAUUUACCCUAGGGUGGGGAAUAACUCCCCGAAAGGGGAGCUAAUGCCGACUAUACGCAAUAUGGUUAUAAGGCCGUAUUGGAAAGCCGUACCGUGGGUGCGGCGCCCAAGGAUAAGCUCACGUCCUAUCAGCUUGUUGGUGAGGUAACGGUUCACCAAGGCUACGACGGGUAGCUGGUCUGAGAGGACGACCAGCCACACUGGCACUGCGACACGGGCCAGACUCCUACGGGAGGCAGCAGUGAGGAAUAUUGCGCAAUGGGCGAAAGCCUGACGCAGCGACGCCGCGUGGGGGAUGAAGGCCUUCGGGUUGUAAACCCCUUUCGGGAGGGAAGAUGGGACAGGCAACUGUUCGGACGGUACCUCCAGAAGCAGCCACGGCUAACUCUGUGCCAGCAGCCGCGGUAAGACAGAGGUGGCAAGCGUUGUUCGGAUUUACUGGGCGUAAAGGGUGCGUAGGUGGUUGAGUAAGACCUGUGGGAAAGCCCUAGGCCUAACCUAGGAAGAUCACAGGUGACUGUUUAGCUAGAGGACGGGAGAGGAGAGCGGAAUUCCCGGUGUAGCGGUGAAAUGCGUAGAGAUCGGGAAGAAGGCCGGUGGCGAAGGCGGCUCUCUGGAACGUUCCUGACACUGAGGCACGAAAGCGUGGGGAGCAAACAGGAUUAGAUACCCUGGUAGUCCACGCCCUAAACGAUGGGUACUAAGUGUCGGCGGGUUACCGCCGGUGCCGCACCUAACGGAGUAAGUACC
rnacentral:rRNA from 1 species